rnacentral:rRNA from 1 species
UACGUAGGGGGCUAGCGUUGUCCGGAAUCAUUGGGCGUAAAGCGCGUGUAGGCGGUCCGGUAAGUCCGCUGUGAAAGUCGAGGGCUCAACCCUCGAAUGCCGGUGGAUACUGUCGGGCUUGAGUACGGGAGAGGCGAGUGGAAUUCCUGGUGUAGCGGUGAAAUGCGCAGAUAUCAGGAUGAACACCGAUUGCGAAGGCAGCUCGCUGGAACGUUACUGACGCUGAGACGCGAAAGCGUGGGGAGCAAACAGG